CUUAGAUCAGAGGGGAAUUUAAAAAAAGGUUAACGAUAACCCCUCGAACAACAAGAACUACAAUUAUUACAAGGUGACAUUCAGAGACAAACAUUUUAAAUACUGUUUUUGAAUAUCCUUACCAGCAAAAAAACACUCCACCAGCAACUGCUAAAAACAAUAGGUAUUGUUUCUGUUCUAGGGAAAUAAUAAUGUGGAAGAAAGCAUUAAGGCAUUAAAACAUUGUUAUAAUAAAAUAGUGUGUGAGGAUGGGGUAACACUAUUUGAAUGGGUGUGCUUAAGAGUGACAUGACAUUGUCAUGAUACUGUCAUAGCCAUGACAUCACACAUGAAGGAAUCAUUUUGAACGUUUAUGAACGUUGUCAUUAGGUGACGGAGCGGGCGCCGCGGGACAAGGCACCAGGGCAGGAGAGUCCUUGGCGGGCUCGGGCAGCGGCGACCAGUCCACGGCGGGCCCUGGCGGCGGAGAAAACAGGGCAGCGAGGAGAACUGGCAGCUGCGGCCCCUGGGCAGCACGGGGCGCAGGGAACACCCGGCGUCUUGGGGCUGGCACCGGACGUAGGCCAGGCGUUGGCCGCACCAAGCUGGCCGGGGACUCUUCCUCUGGCGGUGAGAACCGGUAUGGUGGGUCCCUGAAGCCCCACCAGUCCUCACUCCACCCAACCUCCGGGAAGGCCCCCACCGGCCCUACCAGCGUCGUUUCCCAACGCCGGGCAGGGCUGGGGCACCUGGAUCACCCUGCAUAUGAGCGUAGGUGGCAAGGGCUCGUCCUCCCACCCCUCCGGGGAUGGCAGCCGCGCCUCAGGGUCCUCCGACCGCGCCCACAGCACCCCCCAAAAAAAUUAUUGGGGCUGACUCACAGAGGGUUGAUUGAGUCGCCUCUGUUGACGUCUCCUCCGGGGUCGACGCUGGGUUGGCCCGGGGUGCAGCAGGGGACGGUAGGGGUUCUCCUCCUCCUCUGUCUCGCCAUCAGGCCAACAAAGGAGUUCCCCUACCGUCCACCUCUGCCGUGUCUUUUGUAGGUGGUUCAUUCUGUCACGGUCAUGGUAGCGGUAGGACACAGGCGCAGAGACUGAAUAGUGGAAGUCAUCCAUGUUUAAUCAAAAGAAAGACUCAAACAAAACCAAACGCCGCAAUCAGUGACAUCGGUUAUCCAGAAGGAACAACAAAACCACUGGUUUUGGCAAAACAGGGAACAUAAAUAGGGUCCCCAAUCGGAGGCAACAACCAUCACCUGCCUCCAAUUGAGGAGACUAAAAGGAUUGGAGGUGGCUAGAGGUGCCACCUCCUGUCCUGUCCUGACUAUGCCCCCAGCCCAGCGCAGAGAUGGCUAGGGGCAUAGCCGGGACGUGACACAUUCAGUCGAUUAUGUCAUUUUUAUGCAAGGUUGACAUUGUUUGGGAUGUCUUUGUUAUGACAACAUGACAGUAACCAAGACAACAUAACCUGUUAUAAACAUGUGCCUAAUUAACAAACUUGAAGAAACUAUUUAGCCAGUAUUCUGUGUGCCAUAAAAGGAACUUUGCUGAUCAUGAGACUGGUGCUAAUACUCAGCAUAUUGAGCAUGCAUGGCAGAAAUACAAGUAGGAAGUAUGGAGUCAUAAAGGUAAUCACACUCCUGAGUCACUGAUGAUUCACCUCAAACCCCCACUGGUUAGCCAUACGCCAUUAUAAUGGUGUCUUGGGCAGACUUUUCCAUGAUGUGAAAAAACAAGUAAAGUUUUUAUCAAAGUUUUUUGCAGGAACAUAGUUUGUACUGUAAUUUUGUUAAUGUUGAUGCAGGACAUCCAUUCAUGUAACUAGUGGUUUGCAUGAACAAUGUGCUAAUUAAUAAACAUUAUUCAAGAGAUAAUAUACAUAAUCCAAUUUGUUAAUAUGAUUACAGUGCGGUAAUCAUUAUUAAAAGGUAGACUGGCUACUUGCAUCUUCUAAUAGGUGUGACACACAAAAUAUACACUCACCUAAAGGAUUAUUAGGAACACCUGUUCAAUUUCUCAUUAAUGCAAUUAUAUAAUCAACCAAUCACAUGGCAGUUGCUUCAAUGCAUUUAGGGGUGUGGUCCUGGUCAAGACAAUCUCCUGAACUCCAAACUGAAUGUCAGAAUGGGAAAGAAAGGUGAUUUAAGCAAUUUUGAGCAUGGCAUGGUUGUUGAUGCCAGACAGGCCGGUCUGAGUAUUUCACAAUCUGCUCAGUUACUGGGAUUUUCACACACAACCAUUUCUAGGGUUUCAAAAGAAUGGUGUGAAAAGGGAAAAACAUCCAGUAUGCGGCAGUCCUGUGGGAGAAAAUUCCUUGUUGAUGCUAGAGGUCAGAGGAGAAUGGGCCGACUGAUUCAAGCUGAUAGAAGAGCGACUUUGGCGGAUGGGCUACAACAGCAGAAGACUCCACCGGGUACCACUCAUCGCCACUACAAAUAGGAAAAAGAGGCUACAAUUUGCACAAGCUCACCAAAAUUGGACAGUUGAAGACUGGAAGAAUGUUGCCUAGUCUGAUGAGUCUGGAUUUCUGUUGAGACAUUCAGAUGGUAGAGUCAGAAUUUGGUGUAAACAGAAUGAGAACAUGGAUCCAUCAUGCCUUGUUAUCCCUGUGGAGGCUGGUGGUGGUGGUGUAAUGGUGUGGGGGAUGUUUUCUUGGCACACUUUAGGCCCCUUAGUGCCAAUUGGGCAUCGUUUAAAUGCCUCGGCCUACCUGAGCAUUGUUUCUGACCAUGUCCAUCCCUUUAUGACCACUGUGUACCCAUCCUCUGAUGGCUACUUCCAGCAGGAUAAUGCACCAUGUCACAAAGCUUGAAUAAUUUCAAAUUGGUUUCUUGAACAUGACAAUGAGUUCACUCUACUGAAAUGGUCCCCACAGACACCAGAUCUCAACCCAAUAGAGCAUCUUUGGGAUGUGGUGGAACGGGAGCUUCGUGCCCUGGAUGUGCAUCCCACAAAUCUCCAUCAACUGCAAGAUGCUAUCCUAUCAAUAUGGGCCAACAUUUCUAAAGAAUGCUUUCAGCACCUUGUUGAAUCAAUGCCAUGUAGAAUUAAGGCAGUUCUGAAGGCGAAAGGGGGUCAAACCCAGUAUUAGUAUGGUGUUCCUAAUAAUCCUUUAGGUGAGUGUAUGCUCUGAAUUGGACAAUACUACAUGUGGAUUAUGAUAUUGUUUUACUACAAUUUGAUGAACUCCCGAAACAAACGAAGAUCAAGAUUUCUUUGGACAUCGGACUGAAAAUGUUAUAAACGCAGAGUCACCUACAUAGUUAUGGGGAACGUAAUGACUGUUUUGUAUUAAACAAUGACAUCAUGUGGAUAAUGUUUCUCUUGGCAGUAACAUUUAGCUAGACUAGCUAAACCUCCACCUUUUAUAAUUCCGUUACUGAUGUAUCUUGUGUGUCUUUGUGUAUCCACAUUCUUCUUAGCUAGCCUGUGCCGUUUUUUUAAACCUCUUUUCUAAACAUUGCUUUCAGGUCAUGACAUUUUUCUGCAGUUUUGUUCCCAGAGGAGGAUGACUUUGUGGCAGUAGUUCCACGCCUGUGGCUCAAAGGGGGAGUUUGCUACUGGCCACCACACAGCAUCACCUGCAGGAAGUCCUUCAGCCAUGACAAGUUUGUCAGAACUUGUUCACCACCUGAAGACACCUGGGAGGCUGUCCCUUAUAAGCUCAUGAAGCAUGCAGACAUGUGAGAGACUGCACGUGUGUAUCGCCAGAGGAGCGAAAAUCGUUCCAGCGUGGGCCCCUACCACCCCAAGGACACAUCUACACCACAACACCCUGUGGAUUGCAGCCCUGGAGGAUGGAGGAAGCACAGUACUCCAAGGCACCAGAGAGGUACUCCACGCCACCAUGUGGAGGACUGCUACAUAAGGCAAGAAGGCAGAGGUAGGGGGAAGUUUAAGCUCUGCACAUGAAGAACAUUUGGAGAAGAUCAAGUGGCUGAAAGAAGAGAAGGUCGAACUGAGGGCACAGCUGGCUCUACAAUCAGGUAAAAACAAGACUAUAGUUACGCUAGCAUCUUGUCUUCAUGAAACUGCAUUUGUCUGAACGUGUGCCCUUUACUAAAAUGCAAUACUGUACAGCCUUUCAAAAAUGUAUAUGGCAGUUUUGUUUAUUUCACUAUUAAGCUAUUGACAUUUCAAUGUGCAUUUUAGCUUCUGAUAAAUGUCUGACUGAAGAGAAUGUCAAGCCGAGGGCACAGCUGGCUCUACAAUCAGGUAAAAACAAGACUAUAGUUGCGAUAGCAUGUUGUCUUCAUGAAACAUUUCAUUUAUCUUGAAUGUCAUGCAAAUCUCAAUCAUGUCAGAUCAUUGAAACACAAUAUCUGAUUACAGUAUUACAGGAGCCAUAAGGAAGAAUCCUUCCAACCAGGAUGCCACUGACGAGGCUGUUCAGAACCAGCUGACCUUGCAGGUGGGAAAAGACGUUGCAGCGAUACAAGGGACCUGCCAUGAAUAUGAAUGACAUCUCCAGCACAACCAAUAUUGCAGCUAAUUUACAGUAGUCUUUUUUUUUUAAUAUAUCAUUUUAACUGCUGCUAUGUAUAUGAUCGCAUUAUCCUCUUAAUAUAUUUAAAGCUGUGUGUGAAUGUUCUUAAUUCUGACUGUAGUUGUAGUAUGCUAUGCCACCAUUCAUAAGCUUAUUGCACUGAUGUAUUGAUAAUAUUCAACAACUAUCGAUUGCUGCUAUGUCAUACUUAUGUAUAUUACUGCCAUUCUAGCCCUUGUUUAUUUUGUAUUGUAUUAUGUUUCUUUUGUACUUUUUUACAUUAAAAUACUCUAAUUGUACUAUAUCUGAUGCUGGACACGUUUUCUUGCACUAUUUGAUUUCUGCAUCUUUAUGCAUACUUUUUUUUUGUAUGCAUCUUGCACUAUUUGAAAUAAAUUCUGACCCUAACAUUCACCUAUCUAUUAAUUAUUUUUUUCUUUAUUCUUGUAAUAAAAAUGUAUCAUAUCCACCUACCUCAUGUACAUUACACCUGCACAAAAAUUACUUCUUUAUUCAUUCCAGCUUCGUUUGCACUCUGCUCCAUUAAGAUUACAUCCACCAUCAUUAUGUAAAUAAUAAUACCUGUACAAACAGCACCCUUUAUACCCUGCUCAUUGCACUAUUGUCUCAUCAGUCUUACUAUGUUAUUGUUGGGGUUUAUUGUGUGUAUUGAUGUGUACUGUAUAUUGCAGUCGGUUUAAGUUUUUU
ensembl:lncRNA